CCAGACUCCUACGGGAGGCAGCAGUGAGGAAUAUUGGUCAAUGGGCGCGAGCCUGAACCAGCCAAGUCGCGUGAGGGAGGACGGCCCUACGGGUUGUAAACCUCUUUUGCCGGGGAGCAACGGGCGUCACGUGUGGCGCCACUGAGAGUACCCGGAGAAAAAGCAUCGGCUAACUCCGUGCCAGCAGCCGCGGUAAUACGGAGGAUGCGAGCGUUAAUCGGAAUCACUGGGCGUAAAGCGCGCGUAGGCGGCUUUUCAAGUCAGGGGUGAAAUCCCACGGCCCAACCGUGGAACUGCCUUUGAAACUGUAGAGCUUGAGUGUCGGAGAGGGUGGCGGAAUUCCAGGUGUAGGAGUGAAAUCCGUAGAUAUCUGGAGGAACACCGGUGGCGAAGGCGGCCACCUGGACGACAACUGACGCUGAGGUGCGAAAGCGUGGGUAGCAAACAGGAUUAGAUACCCUUGUA
rnacentral:rRNA from 1 species